rnacentral:rRNA from 1 species
CUACGGGUUGCUGCAGUGGGGAAUAUUGGGCAAUGGGCGAAAGCCUGACCCAGCAACGCCGCGUGAAGGAAGAAGGUUUUCGGAUCGUAAACUUCUAUCCUAGGUGAAGAUAAUGACGGUAGCCUAGAAGGAAGCCCCGGCUAACUACGUGCCAGCAGCCGCGGUAAUACGUAGGGGGCAAGCGUUGUCCGGAAUGAUUGGGCGUAAAGGGCGCGUAGGCGGCCAUGUAAGCCCGAUGUGAAAGUCCUGCUUUUAAGGUGGGAAUUGCAUUGGAAACUGUGUGGCUUGAGUGCAGGAGGGUAAGCGGAAUUCCCGGUGUAGCGGUGAAAUGCGUAGAGAUCGGGAGGAACACCAGUGGCGAAGGCGGCUUACUGGACUGUAACUGACGCUGAGGCGCGAAAGUGUGGGGAGCAAACAGGAUUAGAUACCCCCGUAGUC